UACAACUUUCAGCAACGGAUCUCUUGGCUCUCGCAUCGAUGAAGAACGCAGCGAAAUGCGAUAAGUAAUGUGAAUUGCAGAAUUCAGUGAAUCAUCGAAUCUUUGAACGCACCUUGCGCUCCUUGGUAUUCCGAGGAGCAUGCCUGUUUGAGUGUCAUGAAAU
rnacentral:rRNA from 6 species